GCGCUGCAUUAGCUAGUUGGUAAGGUAACGGCUUACCAAGGCAACGAUGCAUAGCCGACCUGAGAGGGUGAUCGGCCACACUGGAACUGAGACACGGUCCAGACUCCUACGGGAGGCAGCAGUAGGGAAUCUUCCGCAAUGGGCGAAAGCCUGACGGAGCAACGCCGCGUGAGUGAUGAAGGUCUUCGGAUCGUAAAACUCUGUUAUUAGGGAAGAACAUAUGUGUAAGUAACUGUGCACAUCUUGACGGUACCUAAUCAGAAAGCCACGGCUAACUACGUGCCAGCAGCCGCGGUAAUACGUAGGUGGCAAGCGUUAUCCGGAAUUAUUGGGCGUAAAGCGCGCGUAGGCGGUUUUUUAAGUCUGAUGUGAAAGCCCACGGCUCAACCGUGGAGGGUCAUUGGAAACUGGAAAACUUGAGUGCAGAAGAGGAAAGUGGAAUUCCAUGUGUAGCGGUGAAAUGCGCAGAGAUAUGGAGGAACACCAGUGGCGAAGGCGACUUUCUGGUCUGUAACUGACGCUGAUGUGCGAAAGCGUGGGGAUCAAACAGGAUUAGAUACCCUGGUAGUCCACGCCGUAAACGAUGAGU
rnacentral:rRNA from 1 species